GUCUGUUGAAAUUUGUUUUUCGUGGUAUAUGUUCAAUAGAACAAGCCCAGAUAAACGAAUGGAUUUCAUUGUAUUUCUUUAGUCGUCUCAUGGUACUGAAAGAGUGUUCUAUUGCUGUCGUCCAGACUGACAUACAUGCAUAUUAUAUGUUAAGUAUUUUAAAGAUUCCCGGGUAUAAAUUCUUGUUUAUAACAUCAUAGUUUGGAAACCUUUAAAGGGGCACUAGCUGUCAAAUUCAUUGUAACCGAUUUGACUCAAAUUCUCAUAUUUGGUUUAUAACAAUGUAAAACAUUUAUCCAAACUAUCAAAAGUCUAAAAUAAACAGUUUACAGAGCAUGGGGUAGAUAAUAUAUAGAUUCGUUUCGUGUGUAUUUUAGUCCAGACGCCAUCUAAUUAACUAUCGAUUUGACCUCAGAUGACCAUAUAAGCGAUGUAAACAAAAAUAAAGAUACGAAUAGAUUAAACCAACACGUGCAAUUGCAUUUUUAUAGGUCUGUUUGAUUUGAUUUUAUAGAUUAAAAAUAGAUGUUUCUCAUUG
rnacentral:lncRNA from 1 species